AAAAAAAAAAAAAAACCCUUCUUUUAUCUCACUACUCUCUCCCUUCGAUACUCUACCCUAAUCUCACCUAAUCUCACUACUCUCUUCCUCCCUCUCACCAUCCCUCUCACCCAGUCGUCACUUUAUCUCUCUUGCAGCGGUAACAGCAACGUCUAGCGGCAACAACAGCGUCUGCAGCACCGUCUCUUUUGCAGCGGCAACAACAUCGUUACUUUGGUUCUCCCUCCGGCAUCCAGCUGCGUCAAGAAAACAACUUACAUAAAUCUUCAGUGAUGGUUACUGUAGGGGCAAAUCAGACUGGCUAGAAAAGACUUUGCGGGAAACUAAACCAACCCCAAAGCUUGUUACUAUCGUUAAUCCUGGAAACCUAUCUAGAACUUACAUUCCACUGCCUCUUCUCAAGAGGAUUUCAGAUCUCUGUAGGGAUGCAGGAUGUUGGUUUGUUGUAGAUAGUACAUAUGAGAAGAAUACAGAGGUAUGUAGGAGUAUUAAGAAUUACAUGUGCAGGUACUUUGUGUAUGAUGGCCUCAAACACUCGUGCAUGGAGGGCAACCACAUAGUCAACAUUUUUUCGUUUUCUAAAACUUAUGGAAUGAUGGGAUGGCGAGUUGGAUAUGUGCAAACCUUUUGAGUACGUGAUAUCUUCUCAUAUCGAUAUGGGAGCUUACUAUUGAUAUCAAAACAAGCUACACUAUAUCUGUUUUUAUUUUUUUUAUUUCUAUUGUCGAUACUAAAAAUUUGAGUUCUUGAAUAUAAAAAAUUAUUAGUAUUGUUAGAGGUUAUUUUAUAUAAAGAAUAUUUGGUUGACAAUUGUUACAAGGUACA